UCAAACAAGAACAGUGUGCAGCACAAUCACACUGGAAAAAGGUAUCUCUUCAUUUACAGUCUAUGGGUCUACAGCAAUCAGCCAAAAUAAUUCUUCUGUGUGGAUUUGCCAUGGGGGUGCAGGACCUUUAACAAGUCACAUCUGAAAUCUGACAGUGCUAUUUUGACUGACUGUGCUGUCCUAUUAUGAUCAGUGUGGACACAAUGACAUGAAAAGAUAGAGAAAACAUUUCCCUUUAAUAAAUACAAAAUGUGUUUAUAUUAUAAUGUUCUUCUUAUGUUGUUAUUAGGUCAAGUCAAAUUUGACUUGACUUAAUAACAUAAAUACAGACUCCACUUAC